rnacentral:rRNA from 1 species
UACGGGGGGGGCAGGCGUUGUUCGGAAUUACUGGGCGUAAAGGGCUCGUAGGCGGCCAACUAAGUCAGACGUGAAAUUCCUGGGCUCAACCUGGGGGCUGCGUUUGAUACGUGCGGACUUGAGUUCGGAAGAGGGUCGUGGAAUUCCCAGUGUAGAGGUGAAAUUCGUAGAUAUUGGGAAGAACACCGGUGGCGAAGGCGGCGACCUGGUCCGAUACUGACGCUGAGGCGCGAAAGCGUGGGGAGCAAACAGGAUUGAGAAAC